AUUGUGUAUGUGUGUGGUGCAGUGUGUUGAGGGGGUUCUGUGUGUGCGUGAGAGUGCCGUGUGUGCGAGAGUGAUGUGUGUGAGAGUGCUGUGUGUGAUGGGUGUGAGAGUGCUGUGUGUGAGAGAGUACUGUGUGUGAUGGGUGUGAGUGAUGUGUGUGAGAGUGCUAUGUGUGGUGGGUGUGAGAGUGCUGUGUGUGCUGUGAGUGAGAGUGCUGUGUGUGAUGGGUGUGAGAGUGCUGUGUGUGAUGGGUGUGAGUGCUGUGUGUGAUGAGUGGUGUGUGAUGGGUGUGUGAGUUCUGUGUGUGAGUUCUGUGUGUGAUGGGUGUGAGAGUGCUGUGUGUGAGUGAUGGGUGUGACAGUGCUGUGUGUGAUGGGUGUGAGAGUGCUGUGUGUGAUGGGUGUGAGUGCUGUGUGUGAGAGUGGUGUGAGAGUACUGUGUGAGUGCUGUGUGUGUGAGUGCUGUGUGUGAUGGGUGUGAGAGUGCUGUGUGUGAUGGGUGUGAGUGCUGUGUGUGAUAGUGCUGUGUGUGAUGGGUGAGAGUGCUGUGUGUGAUGGGUGUGAGAGUGCUGUGUGUGAUGGGUGUGAGAGUGCUGUGUGUGAGAGAGUACAGUGUGUGAUGGGUGUGAGAGUGCUGUGAGUGAUGUGUGUGAGAGUGCUGUGAGUGAGUCUAGUGUGUGUAUAGGGGAUCCAGAG